rnacentral:misc_RNA from 1 species
AUGAUGCAUUUGCAAAUGAUACAGGUUCAUAUUUUCCUUAUUGCUUUGUUUCUGAGUUUUGUGUGUGUGGAUUCAUAUUUAAAUAUCUGGCAACCUAAUUGAAUAGAUUUUCUUCAAUAUAGUAUGUUUAUUGAAUUGCUUUACCUGGAACCAUGUAUAGUGGAAAAUGGAAAUUUAUGCUUUUGAUGAGCAUAAGCUAUCCCAAUAGUAAUUGUGCUAUCUCAAGUUUUGGUUUCUGACUUUCUGUACAUACGGGACAUACUCAAAUUAGUUGUAUGCUAUCCCAAUAGUUAUUGUGCUAUCUCAAGCUUUGGUUUUAACUUCUAACUUUAUGUACAAACAUGACAUCCAAAUCAGUUGCAAACGAGCAUUAGUGAUCUAGAUUUUUUAGGACCUGUUUUCGGAUGUCGUAUUCCUUUGUAGUUAUUCAGUGUUUCAAUUUCAUGGUAAUUUUGUGAUAUUUAGGUUUGUUGCAGACUGGCAGUUGUGCUACCACAACAGCUCUAAGGGUGCAUUUGGUUCAAGGGAUGGGACAAUGUGAGACGAGACAAUACUAAUAUUUGUCCCUUUUUGUGAUUGGUGUACUCAGAACAAGGCAAAUUAAUUAUGCACAUUAAUAUUGAUAUGCCAAAUAAAUAAUAUUUAAGUAAUAUCAGUGAAGAAAAUUUCAAGAUUCAAUUUGUUUAUAAUAUUUUUUUAAAAAAUAAUUUUUUUAUAGGAUUUUUUUAUAAAUGUAAUUUUGUUGUUCUUGUUGAUUAGGACUGGACAAGUUGUCCCACCAGAAGUUAAGGGAUAGAAAAAUGAGGAAUGUCUUAUCCAAAGUAUACCAAAAAUAAGAUUAGUGAGAGUUGUCCUGUCCACAGAACCAAACGUAACCUAAUGGUCAAAGUAGUUGAGUUAUGGUUUUCUAGUGGGAAUGCAAGUCCAAUAAGUACUAGGGGCGUGUUUGGUUGCUGGAAUUUAACAUUUCUAUUCGGAAUCACUUUCCUGAGAAAGUAGCUUUCCAAGAAAGUGACCUUAGGAAUGUAACAUUGUCAUAUUUGGUUAUAAUUUCAAUUUUCCUUAGAAUGAACAAUUAAUUGUGUUUGGUUGGAUAUUGAGAAAUUAAAUUAAAGAGAGAUUACCACAAUACUCCUAUUCUAAAUAUCUUAUGAAUAUAUAAAUUUAUAUACUAUAUAAUGAAAUUUAUCAUAAUAACCACACUAACAUAAAUAUACCAUUAUUCAAAAAAUGUUGAACCAAUAUCAUUUAAUUUGUUUAAAAUAUAUGAUUAAAAAUAAAAAUUAAAAAGAAGAUUCAAAAGAUGUGUUCAAUUAUUAAAAAUCAAUUAAAUGCUGGAAAAUAUUGUAGCCUACUCAACAUCUAGAAUCUUGUUGGUAGGGUUUGUAGAGGAUAUUUAAUAUAACCUUUUUUUUUAUAAAUAUUAUUAUAAAUAAGAGUAUUUAUGUCUACACACUUGAAUUUUCCUCACCCAAUGUUAUAAAGAAGAUUUAUAUUGCUAUUUUUUUUUAAAUAUUAUACAAAUAAGUAUAUUGAUGUCCAUAUAUAUGUUUUCUAAUUUCCCACACCUAGACCUGGCCAAGGGCGGGGCUUGAACUAAAACUGGUAAAAAACUGUGGUUAUAUUGAACUUGGAUUUGAUUGAAACUGGAACCGUGAAAGGACCUUAGGGGCCGGUUCAAGCACCCUUUCGGUGGACAGUACCCACGCCCAUGGGAAAGUAACUAGCUUUACCAACUGAAAAGAUGGAAAAGUACUGCACAUGUAUGUGGGAAAAUAGAGGUGGGACCCACAUGUUUGGGAAUUGGGCUUUCCUGGGAAUGCAACAUUCCCCAUUUGAACCAAACACUAGAAUUUAUCAUUCCUGGUCACUUUUCUGGCAGAUUCAGGCAAUCAAAUGCCCCCUAGAAUUUUAACUCUUGUGUGUGUGUGUGUG